GGGAGUGUGGUCUAGUGGUAUGAUUCUCGCUUUGGGCACGACCUAUUAAUAGUAGGUAGUUAAACAAAUAUGCGAGAGGCCCAGGGUUCAAUUCCCUGCUCUCCCC